rnacentral:misc_RNA from 1 species
GAAAUGCGAUAAGUAAUGUGAAUUGCAGAAUUCCGUGAAUCAUCGAAUCUUUGAACGCACAUUGCGCCCCUCGGUAUUCCGGGGGGCAUGCCUGUCCGAGCGUCAUUGCAACCUUCAAGCGCGGCUUGUGUGUUGGGCUUCGUCCCCCGUGGACGGGCCUUAAAGGCAGUGGCGGCGCCCGAAUCUGGUGCCCGAGCGCAUGGGAAUUUCACUUUCCGCUCAAUGUGGCCCGGCGGACGCUGGUCUUCUUAACCAAAGGAUCUUGCAUCCUUUUCACCGGUUGACCUCGGAUCAGGUAGGGAUACCCGCUGAACUUAA